rnacentral:lncRNA from 1 species
CGAGAGUUUGCGAGGCACCUCCGUUUGCCAAAAAUAGGCUGCGGGCUAGGCCGUGACCAAGAAUAAAUGUCCGAAGGCCGGGGCGCCAAGUUCGUCCAGCGGAAAAAGGCCACAAAAAUGGGUGGGCUAUAGCCUUGGGGUGUGGGGCUGACCAACUUCGUCCGCCGGACUCGGAAUGGCGCGAGACUUUGCGAGGCGCCUCCCUGUGCCAAAAAUAGGCCGCGGACAAAGCCGCACCCAAAAAUAACCGCCCGAAGGCCGGGGCGCCAAGUUCGUCCAGCGGAAAAAGGCCACAAAAACGGGUGGGCUAUAGCCUUUGGGGGUGGUGCUGGCCAACUUCCUCCGCCGGACUCGGAAUGGUGCGAGACUUUGUGAGGCGCCUCCGUGUGCCAAAAAUAGGCCGCGGGCACAGCGGCGCCCAAAAAUAACCGCUCGAAGGCCGGGGCGCCAAGUUCGUCCGGCGGAAAAAGCCCACAAAAACGGGUGGGCUAUAGCCUUGGGGGGUGUGGCUGGCCAACUUCGUCUGCCGGACUCGGAAUGGCGUCAGACUUUGCGAGGCACCUCCGUGUGCCAAAAACAGGCCGUGGGCACAGUCGCACCCAAAAAUAACCGCCCGAAGGCCGGGGCGCCAAGUUCGUCCAGCGGAAAAAGCCCCCAAAAACGGGUGGGCUAUAGCCUUGGGGGGUGGGGCUGGCCAACAUCGUCCGCCGGACUCGGAAUGGCGCGAGACUUUGCGAGGUGCCUCCGUGUGCCAAAAUUAGGCCGCGGGCACAGCCACACUCAAAAAUAACCGCCCGAAGGCCGGGGCGCCAAUUUCGUCCAGCGGAAAAAGGCCACAAAAACGGGUGGGCUAUAGCCUUGGGGGGUGGGACUGGCCAACUUCAUCCGCCGGACUCGGAAUGCCGCGAGACUUUACGAGGGGCCCCCGCGUGCAAAAAAUAGGCCACGGGCAAAGCCGCGCCCAAAAACAACCCCCCGAAGGCCGGGGCGCCAAGUUCGUCCAGCGGAAAAAGCCCACAAAAACGGGUGGGCUAUAGCCUCGGGGGGUGGGGUUGGCCAACUUCGUCCGCCGGACUCGGAAUGGCGCGAGACUUUGCGAGGCACCUCCGCGUGCCAAAACUAGGCCAUGGGCUCAGCCGCGCCCAAAAAUAACCGCCCGAAGGCCGGGGCGCCAUGUUCGUCCAGCGGAAAAAAUCCACAAAAACGGGGGGGCUAUAGCCUUGGGGGGUGGGGCUGGCCAACUUCGUCCGCCGGACUCGCAAUGGCGCUAGACUUUGCGAGGCACCUCCGUUUGCCAAAAAUAGGCCACGGGCACAGCCGCGCCCAAAAAUAACCGCCGAACGCCGGGGCGCCAAGUUCGUCCAGCGGAAAAAAGCCACAAAAACGGGUGGGCUAUAGCCUUGGGGGGUGGGGCUGGCCAACUUCGUCCGCCGGACUAGUAAUGGCGCGAGCCUUUGCGAGGCGCCUCCGUGUGCCAAAAAUAGGCCACGGGCACAGCCGCGCCCAAAAAUAACCGCCGAAAGCCGGGGCGCCCAGUUCGUCCAGCGGAAAAAAGCCACAAAAACGGGUGGGCUAUAGCCUUGGGGGGUGGGGCUGGCCAACUGCGUCGGCCGGACUCGGAAUGGCGUGAGACUUUGCGAGGCACCUCCGUGUGCCAAAAACAGGCCGCGGGCACAGUCGUACCCAAAAAUAACCGCCCGAAGGCCGGGGCGCCAAGUUCGUCCAGCGGAAAAAGCCCCCAAAAACGGGUGGGCUAUAGCCUUGGGGGGUGGGGCUGGCCAACAUCGUCCGCCGGACUCGGAAUGGUGCGAGACUUUGCGAGGCACCUCCGGGUGCCAAAAAUAGGCCGCGGGCACAGCCGUACCCAAAAAUAACCGCCCGAAGGCCGGGGCGCGAAGUUCGUCCAGCGGAAAAAAGUCACAAAAACGGGUGGGCUAUAGCCUUGGGGGGUGGGGCUGGCCAACUUCGUCACCCGGACUAGGAAUGGCGCGAGACUUUGCGAGGCACCUACGUGUGCCAAAAAUAGGCCGCGGGCACAGCGGCGCCCAAAAAUAACCGCUCGAAGGCCGGGGCGCCAAGUUCGUCCGGCGGAAAAAGCCCACAAAAACGGGUGGGCUAUAGCGAUGGGGGGUGUGGCUGGCCGACUUCGUCUGCAGGACUCGGAAUGGCGUGAGACUUUGCGAGGCACCUCCGUGUACCAAAAACAGGCCGCGGGCACAGUCGCACCCAAAAAUAACCGCCCGAAGGCCGGGGCGCCAAGACUUUGCGAGGCACCUCCGUGUGCCAAAAACAGGCCGCGGGCACAGUCGCACCCAAAAAUAACCGCCCGAAGGCCGGGGCGCCAAGUUCGUCCAGCGGAAAAAAGUCACAACAACGGGUGGGUUAUAGCCUUGGGGGGUGGGGCUGGCCAACUUCGUCCCCCGGACUAGGAAUGGCGCGAGACUUUGCGAGGCACCUACGUGUGCCAAAAAUAGGCCGCGGGCAAAGCGGCGCCCAAAAAUAACCGCUCGAAGGCCGGGGCGCCAAGUUCGUCCGGCGGAAAAAGCCCACAAAAACGGGUGGGCUAUAGCCUUGGGGGGUGUGGCUGGCCAACUUCGUCCGCCUGACUCGGAAUGGCGUGAUACUUUGCGAGGCACCUCCGUGUGCCAAAAACAAGCCGCGGGCACAGUCACACCCAAAAAUAACCGCCCGAAGGCCGGGGCGCCAAGUUCGUCCAGCGGAAAAAGCCCCCAAACACGGGUGGGCUAUAGCCUUGGGGGGUGGGGCUGGCCAACAUCGUCCGCCGGACUCGGAAUGGUGCGAGACUUUGCGAGACGCCUCCGUGUGCCAAAACUAGGCUGCGGGCACAGCCGCACUCAAAAAUAACCGCCCGAAGGCCGGGGCGCCAAGUUCGUCCGGCGGAAAAAGCCCACAAAAACGGGUGGGCUAUAGCCUUGGGGGGUGGGGCUGGCCAACUUCGUCCGCCGGACUCGUAAUGGCGCGAGACUUUGCGAGGCGCCUCCGUGUGCCAAAAAUAGGCCAUGGGCAGAGCCGCGCCCAAAAAUAACCGCCGAAGGCCGGGGCGCCAAGUUCGUCCAGCGGAAAAAGCCCCCAAAAACGGGUGGGCUAUAGCCUUGGGGGGUGGGGCUGGCCAACAUCGUCCGCCGGACUCGGAAUGGCGCGAGAGUUUGCGAGGCACCUCCGUGUGCCAAAAUUAGGCCGCGGGCACAGCCACACUCAAAAAUAACCGCCCGAAGGCCGGGGCGCCAAGUUCGUCCAGCGGAAAAAGGCCACAAAAACGGGUGGGCUAUUGCCUUGGGGGGUGGGGCUGACCAACUUCGUCCGCCGGACUCGGAAUGGCGCGAGACUUUGCGAGGCGCCUCCCUGUGCCAAAAAUAGGCCGCGGACAAAGCCGCGCCCAAAAAUAACCGCCCGAAGGCCGGGGCGCCAAGUUCGUCCAGCGGAAAAAGGCCACAAAAACGGGUGGGCUAUAGCCUUUGGGGGUGGUGCUGGCCAACUUCGUCCGCCGGACUCGGAAUGGCGCGAGACUUUGCGAGGUGCCUCCGUUUGCCAAAAAUAGGCCGCGGACACAGCCGCGCCAAAAAAUAACAGCCCGAAGGCCGGGGCGCCAAGUUCGUCCAGCGGAAAAAGGCCACAAAAACGGGUGGGCUAUAGCCUUGGGGGGUGGGGCUGGCCAACUUCGUCCGCCGGACUCGGAAUGGCGCGAGAGUUUGCGAGGCACCUCCGUUUGCCAAAAAUAGGCCGCGGCCAAAGCCGCGCCCAAAAAUAACUGCCCGAUGGCCAGGGCGCCAAGUUCGUCCAGCGGAAAAAGGCCACAAAAACGGGUGGGCAAUAGCCUUGGUGGGUGGGGCUGGCCCACUUCGUCCGCCGGACUCGGAAUGGCACGAGACUUUGCGAGGGGGCUCCGUGUGCCAAAAAUUGGCUGCGGUCAAAGCCGUGCCCAAAAAUAACCGCCCGAAGGCCGGGGCGCGAAGUUCGUCCAGCGCAAAAAAGUCACAAAAACGGGUGGGCUAUAGCCUUGGGGGGUGGGGCUGGCCAACUUCGUCCCCCGGACUAGGAAUGGCGCGAGACUUUGCGAGGCACCUACGUGUGCCAAAAAUAGGCCGCGGGCACAGCGGCGCCCAAAAAUAACCGCUCGAAGGCCGGGGCGCCAAGUUCGUCCGGCGGAAAAAGCCCACAAAAACGGGUGGGCUAUAGCGAUGGGGGGUGUGGCUGGCCGACUUCGUCUGCCGGACUCGGAAUGGCGUGAGACUUUGCGAGGCACCUCCGUGUACCAAAAACAGGCCGCGGGCACAGUCGCACCCAAAAAUAACCGCCCGAAGGCCGGGGCGCCAAGACUUUGCGAGGCACCUCCGUGUGCCAAAAACAGGCCGCGGGCACAGUCGCACCCAAAAAUAACCGCCCGAAGGCCGGGGCGCCAAGUUCGUCCAGCGGAAAAAAGUCACAACAACGGGUGGGUUAUAGCCUUGGGGGGUGGGGCUGGCCAACUUCGUCCCCCGGACUAGGAAUGGCGCGAGACUUUGCGAGGCACCUACGUGUGCCAAAAAUAGGCCGCGGGCAAAGCGGCGCCCAAAAAUAACCGCUCGAAGGCCGGGGCGCCAAGUUCGUCCGGCGGAAAAAGCCCACAAAAACGGGUGGGCUAUAGCCUUGGGGGGUGUGGCUGGCCAACUUCGUCCGCCUGACUCGGAAUGGCGUGAUACUUUGCGAGGCACCUCCGUGUGCCAAAAACAGGCCGCGGGCACAGUCACACCCAAAAAUAACCGCCCGAAGGCCGGGGCGCCAAGUUCGUCCAGCGGAAAAAGCCCCCAAACACGGGUGGGCUAUAGCCUUGGGGGGUGGGGCUGGCCAACAUCGUCCGCCGGACUCGGAAUGGUGCGAGACUUUGCUAGACGCCUCCGUGUGCCAAAACUAGGCUGCGGGCACAGCCGCACUCACAAAUAACCGCCCGAAGGCCGGGGCGCCAAGUUCGUCCAGCGGAAAAAGCCCACAAAAACGGGUGGGCUAUAGCCUUGGGGGGUGGGGCUGGCCAACUUCGUCCGCCGGACUCA